GUACUACUGAUCGAUUUAGCAGAUGAUGAUUGUCGGAGAUGAUUCCUGAUUAAACUCCACUCCCUGACUUCCAUUUUGCAACGACGGUUGUCAGUGGAAUUUUCUGAUGCUAAAUCACUAUUUUUUUUUUUUUUUGAUUCUGGUGCCCAUGAUUAGUAAUAAAUAAUAGUUUAAAAAAAAUGCAACUAUUACAAUAAGAUAGAGUAAAAAUGAAUAUUGUAUACAAGAUUUAAAAAAUGUUACGUAUAUUAUGAAUUUAAUUAAAUAAGAUUAUUUAUUAAAAUAUAUAAGAAGAAUAUCGUACGAUCCAUUAAUCAACAAUUCUAUCAAUUUUCUCGUAAACUAUACAUAUAAAUUGUCAAAAGAGAUAAUAUGAGCAACAAGGAUUCUUCGAAAUUCAUUAAUGAGAAAGAGACAGCGUGAUCUCGUGAUCGAUCGAUGGUUUGAUAAUAAAGAUAUGGUCGAAAUGAUGCAAAAACAACGUCUUGACAAUCUCGAGGACCGCAAAAUAAUGUAUCAAGUUCGUUGCGAUCCGCGAAUUCGUCGCCACACUAUUACGGGUUAUAGUGUGCACCUUUCCGACCUCAUUCAACUUUGAACCGCGUCGAGAACGAUGGUGUACAAGGCACAAAUAUCUGCCACUGGCGCGUGUUGGAACUCUGUUUUACUCAACUCCCACCACCCAUCCUCUCCGCUAUCCCCACUUCAAUUCAUUUGUAUCCCCACCUCGUAUCGCUGUUUCUCUGUGAUAAACCCGUGGAUCGAGACACACGUGCGUAUCGCAUUCGUGGUGUAUUGAAAAAUGGAAAAUAAUGAGAAAAAAAGAAAAAAGAGAAGGGAAUCAUAGUAUAGAGAUAGUAUCGUUGACAGAACGUUAAGUAGAAGUGCACAGGUUUCAAAAAUGCGAAUAAAGACCCGAUUAUCCGGGAUUCGAGAGCGGAUUUUCAGGUGUAGAUUAGGAAAUUGGUUCGGGACCGAGAUGAGGAGAUAUGAUGGAGAUUAGGAGAGUGGGGUCGGAGCGACCGCCAUAUUGGAAUAUUAGGCUUAGGGAAGCGAAUAGUUCAAGUGGGAGAGAGAGAAAGACAGAGACUGGCGAAAUGGUCGUUUCGCAACCAGAGAAUUCUUCUCCGAUUUUGUGCAAUUCGACCGGCUUUCAGGAAUUCUUUCUUCUAUCUAUUGAGAUAAAAAAAGAAUAUAACACGAUAGUUUUUAAAUUGAGAAAUUUAAAUUAGAAAGAACGAAAUUCAAAGUAAAUCUAUCGAAAAUAUGGAAACUUAGAGAGAGACGAGAUUAAAAUAUAAAAAUAUUACAAAAAAAAUUAAAAAAAUUUUUUUCACGAUGGAUCGAAAAAUAAAGCGAAAAUUAAUUGGCAAAAAAUUCAUCCAAGCCAUCAACCUCGAUCGAUACCAACCAACGCUUUAUUUUCGAAGGGUAAAUUUUUCGGCGGGAAAACGCGAUAAACAGUUAAACAAAGAAAAAUACACGCGAAAACGAAAAGAAUCGUUUUCGUGACGAAAUAAAAAUCGGAGCAAUCAAGAUGACGGUGUUCGUGAGAAGCAUAUAAUAUUUUCCGCUAGUCAGAAUGGAAGAAACUUCUCAUCGUUUCGCGAUACUCUCUCCAAAUAUACCAGAGAGAGAGAGAGACGACUCUAUCCUCGAACCUUUCGUCCGUUCUCACGAGGAAAGCUCCUCGAGGCCAUGCGGUUGGCCGAGGUAAUUCCCCUGAAACGUUGCUUCCACGUUGCUCGACCGUAAGUUCGAUCAACUUACUCGCCUGGUUUACUCGUACUCCUUCCUCUCUCUUUCUUCUCGGUCGAGAGAAAAAGUCGAGAUAUUCGAUUUCUACGUUCGGUUUCGGCGCGAGAACUCGUUAAUCGAUUCGUGCACUACAGACUGCUUCAAAAGCAAAUAUUUCGUGCGUUCGUUAUCGUUAUCGAUCGAUUACGAUAAUUUACAAAAAAAAAAAGAAAUAAUCGAACAUUUUGGAAAUUUUGCUAAUUUUUGUCAUUUUCCUCGUUUGACCCGAGAAUCCAAAUCCUCCUUUUCUAAUUUUUCGAAAGAUAUCUCGAAGAUCGAGAAAAAGGGAUCAGAUUUGCGAACAACGGGAUUAUCGACUUGAUAACGCGAUCAUCUUGGAUUUUCCGCAAAUUCCAAAUUCUUCUCUAUCCCAUUCUCGAUAUUGAAUGAAACAUUGGACGAAGAACGAGAAUUUCGCUACAAGAAAGAACGGGAUGACGAUAUAUAAUUGGAAUUUCGAUCAUUGGCGUAGACCAAGUUGGUGGUAACAGUUCGACGAGGAAACGAUAAUUUAGGCGGCGUUCCCUCGAAGAUCGAGUCUUCGUGGAGAUGACUUUAAUCGCGUCUCCGAAUCCCACCGGCCCCCGGGAUCGAGCUCCAUUAUCGUAAAUUAGUAGCUGCCCCGCUUCAAAGUUGCUUUCAAAACAGGCCGCGAGUGGCGCUUAUUGUGCUGGGCCGGCCCAUCUCCCGGGGUCGUUGUCUUAAUUUCGUUCCAGUUUCUUUGUGCCCGGCAUGCAGGAACUAAUUAUCGAUACUUGGCAAGUUUCCAAACUCUCGACAAUACGCCAUUUUAUAUACAUAUAUAUAUAUAUAUAUAUUCUUGUAAAUUUAUUACGCGAAGAAAGAAAGAGAGAGAGAGAAGGAAAGAUCGAAGGAUCUUUCUUUCUUUUUUAUUUUAUCUUAAGGAAAGUGGUCGAGGAAAGGAGCGGGGAGUAAAUAAACGGGAUACGUGAUUGGGUUUCGAGAAAAUUUCAUCUUCUGAAAAUCGGUUCGAUUACGAGCCGCUUCUCUGAUAAAUGGCGUCGCCUCGGUUUCUUUCGUGAAUAAACGGAAGAGGUCGUUCGAUCUGGGGAAAAAGGAGAAUUGAGAAGUUUUUAGUGAAAAAUAACACGGUUACCCGCGGUUGAAAUUGACGGAGGUUAGAAAUUCGGGUUAUUUGAUCAACUUAUAGAAAGAAUCUUGAUAGAUAUUCGGAAAAAUAUAAAAGAGUGUAAUAAAAUUAUUGAAUCGUUAUAAAAGUGAUACAAAAAUUCCUAUACAGUUCGAAAGUCUGUGGUAAAAUUUCUUCCCUUAAUUCCUUUCCAUAGACUAUUUUAAUUUCAUUCUUUUAUUUUUUUUUACCUACAACUCCUCGAUUCAUUUACAAAAAGAAAUGUUCUCGAUAAAAUAUCGUGUGAAAUAUUAAAAAGUAUCUGAAAGAAAGAAAAAGAAAACAUUUAAAAUUCUUGAACCGCGUUCCAAUCCCGACAUGUUCGCGCAUUGGUCGGAUGGAAAAAAGGAGGGGAGAGAAAAAGAAGGGAGAGAUGGCAGUUUGCUCAGUGGCUUAAAAGGCCGUUUGCCUCGAAUCCAGAAGGUGCAACUCUACGCCAACAAAUUGAGUUUACACCGUUGGAGCGUUUGCUUCGAGGCAAUCCCUGCAGGAGGAUUCUUGCCGAGGAUGAAUGGAAAAUGCUCGAAAACUCGAUCGAACGCCCUCGGACGAUAAACGUUCCCGCGUGGCCGGGCUUCUCCUCGAGGAAAAAUAAAAUUGAUCGCCUUUCUCCGCUACAUCGACACACGUUUCCUCUCCUUCUUUGUUGCGCGAUGGUAUCCGUGUCUAAUAUCUAAUCGCAGUUGUGAAAGUGGAGUUGAAUGGUGAAAUACAAUAACCCUUCUGUAGAGAUGACGAAUGUAACGGAUUUUGGAUUUUUCGAUCGAAUGAAGCAAGGUAUUUGAUCAAUAAUUUAUUUUAUCUUGAAUUACCAUUUCUUUGAAAAGAAAAUGUUUAUUUAAGAAGGAACAAGUAAGGCAAAUUAAAAUUACGUUAAUAAAAUUAAGUCGUAGUUUCAGUGAGUUUCCUCCUUGUAAUUAAAGCUUUUCCUUAUUUAUUUAUAUCAUAGAAGAUGAUUUUUUCCCAUAAAAAUUCAAGCGUCGAAAUAAUGCAAAAGAAAGUAGAUAAUUUUCGGCGAAGAACAGUGAUGUGCAACGUAUGCGUUCUCAUACUUGCUCGUGCACGCUCGUGGACGUUAUCGCCUCAAGAGUUCAAACACACGGAGUCGCAAAGUGUGUUUUUCAUACUUGGAGGCCGUGUCUGGUUUGGAUUUGGCCUUUUAUCAAGUGAACACGGAACGCCGCUCAUCAUCAACCACGAAGCGAAUUCGCCUGGUUCCUCUGAUAACGAGAUGAACUUUCGACUAGGUAGUCUAAAGAUGAUACAUGGAUCAUUAAGGAAACUAGUCUUACUAGUUAUCAUCAGUUCACCCUGAUAAUCUUGGCCGCGCCAUCGCUAACCUCGUCUAACCUCGUUUUCUAUCUUUUAUCGCGUUCCGACCGACACUCUCUCUCUUUCUUUACUCUCUUAGAGAGGAAAGAGCAAGGGGAAAAAUGAGCAAGGAGAUAGAAAAAUUAGAGGAGAAAAGAAUUUUAAAAAAAGAAAAAGUAAUAACGCGAAGUCGGGAAACUAUGCACCCAAUAAAACUAAGAUUCUCUUGAAUAAAGGAAAAGAUAUACAAUGCGGUGGAUAGAAUGUUAUAAAAAGCGUGUAUAAAAUGAAAACGCUUGGAGAAUAUGAAAAAAAAUAAUACGAGCGAAAGAGGAUAGAUAAAAAAAAAGAGAAAAGGAAAAAAAGAUGUACAAAAAGUAUCCAUCCAAGUGUACGUACGGAUGAAACAUAAUAAAAAGAAGAAACACCUAUAUCUAAGGAAAGAUAUUAAACCAAAAAAAGAAAAAAGAGAGAGAGAAGCCGGAGAGUCGUAAAAAGGAUCGCAGAGGAGAGGAUUAACCGCGUAAUUGCGCACGGUUGUUCGAGCGUCCAUCGUGUAAUUAACGCACCCUAUUAACACUCGUGUGUACACAGACUCACUCUGGAAUUAGCUCGAAACUGGUUCUAGAACUAACGCGUGAACGUCUGAAAGGAACGCCCUCUGGUAAAAUUACUCGGUUGUGUAGAGAAAGGAAAAAAAAAUAGCAUCUUUCGUAAAACUAAUUUAUGUUAAAAAUUUAUAUUAAAAGGAAAAAUGGUAUAUUCUUACUACGAGCCGCUUCCUACGUUAAUAACACAACGAGGGGGAAGGAAAGGGAGAGGAAGAUAGAGACAGUGCUCUACCGCUUGUCAAUUACGAGGCUUCCGAUAAAAGGAAACGAAAUAAUUGUUGUUACAGGUCGAUAGCUCGCCGAUAAUUUUAGCUCGUCGGUUGACCGAGAACUCGAACCAGCCUUGUUCUAAUUUCGCUGUUUCUUGGAGAGGACAAGAGGCGACGCCAACGGACAAUAAAGGAAACUAUCCCAAGAGCAUCGAACGUGAAUAUUCGUUUCUUUCCCAGUUCGGAGAGGAAAGUAAGCCGAUAUGCUCUCUCGAUCGAAUCGUAAAAUUCGAUCGAGAAAUCGUUUUUUUCUUCUUCUAUUUUUUCCCCUCUCUUUUUCUUUUUCAAUUGGCAAAGAAGACGAGAUAUCUCCUCGCAGAUAUUUUUAUCUAUCGCGAGUCUCGUUUGCUCGUAGGAGGGAAUAUAAAGAACGUUCCUUCCUGGAAAAGAGAAAAUGCGGCAAAAAAAGGCGAUCGCCUCUGAAGAAGCGAUAGUACUGUGGACACCCAUGAAAUAAUUAUGACCUUCUCUCAACCCUCGACCGAAAUUCAUACGAUUUUCAAUAGCUUUCUUCCUCGUUCACGUUAAAAGGAUCUCUCUUUUCUCUCUCGUUCGACUUUUAAAUCACAAUCUCUACCAUUCCUCUGUUCGACAAAUCGUUUCACGAUUCCUUCCUCUUCCGAUGAGAAAACGUCUUCCCUUCGCCUCAUCCAUUCACCAUGACCCUCUCGAUCCCUUCUCCCUUAACGGAGGUGGAGGUUAAUCCCUUUGGGUUUACCACUUUUUUUUUUCUUUUUCUAAAUUACACGUCUAACGUAAUACAACGAUUUUUUUUUUUGAAGACAAAGAAAAUUUUAUACUAUCAAUUCUCAUCUCCACGAUGAGAAAACGUCUUCCUUUCGCCUUCAUUCAUGACUCUCUCGAUCCUUCCGCUCUUAACGGAGGUUAAUUUGUUUUGGGAUCACCAUUUUUGUUUCUUUUUUUAAAUUACCCAUCUAGCAUAAUACGACGAUUUCUUUCUUUUUUUUUAAAGAUUUUAUAUCAUAACUCUCCACGAUGAGAUAACGUCUUCCAUUCACCUCCUCCCUUAACGGAGGUUAAUCCCUUUGUUUUGGGAUCACCGCUUCUUUUUUUUUAAAUUACGCGUCUAACUAAUUUCUUUUUUUUUUGAAGAAAAUUUUAUAUUACUAAUUCGCCUCAUAGAAGAAUAUUGGAAAGAGUUUCAGAAAAUUUCAUCCAUAAGGUAUCGAUCCUCUCUUUAUAAUUUCCCAAAUUAUUCGCGCCUUGAUGCACGCGAUCGAACGACGGCCAAAUCAUUUCCGUUUCCAGGCUCGACGAUCCCGAUCGACGCCCACGAACUUCCACUCGUCCCUUAUUCAUUCGAAACCGAAGUUUCGAACGAAAUCGGCGCGGCUGGACCGAGCUCCGCCCAAUUAUUCCCACGAGCCGCGCGAAAAAAUAGGAUCGGGGUGGGGAGGAGGGCGAGCACUGCGGCUGACAAGCGAUCAAUUCUUUCGGCUGGAAGCAGGAAGCGCGGAAUCCCCCAUGGCGCGGGGAAUCCCCCAAAGAGCCGUCUCUUCCCUCCUAAGAGGGAAAUUGAAGAGAAAUUUCGUCGUGGGUUUCGUUUGCUUACGAAACGAAGAAUGUUUUGAGAACAAAUGGAUGGAAUGUUGCUUUUAAGAGAAACAGGUGGUGUUUUGACGAACGAGAAGAUAAACGAGCAAAGAGUUUUCAUUGGAGUUUGGAUUGGAUUAUUUUACAUUGAUAAAAAUUUUAUAAAUUUUUGCACACGAGUCCAAUUAUCGGCGGAAGAAUUAAUUUUUUAAAAAUGUUCCGUUCAAUUUCCUGUUGAAAAAAAAUGCGGAGAGAAGAGUUCGAAGAGUAGAUAAAUAUCAUUUUCGUCGUCCCUUGCCGCGGAAAGAACGAUGAACAUUUCCAUUUUUCACCCCCGUUGCACCCCCGUUCCGCGCAAUUUGGAUCCGGAUCGGAAACCCAUUCGGCAUCUUCUUGAUCGACGCGCGAACGCCGACCUCGAGAAGAUCACCACCCCUCCUACCGUGCAUCGCCUUUCGUUCUCAUUUCUUAUUCCCCCACCAUCUCUUUCCAACAAUUCUCUUACCAAUAAAAUUCGAUCGUUUCAAAACGCGCGAUAACGCGUUCCCGCUCUUUUAUCGUAACAUGAUAAAUUCAAAAUGAGGUAUGACACAUUGUAUUGCAUGCGCUGAUCGACGCUGAUCGCGCUAUUACCAACCGUGAUAUGUUAAAUAAUCACGAUAAUGUCGUUUCCGAAAAGUCAAACGAGCAUUUAAAUCGUGCGAUAGAGUCGGGAUAAACGAGAUGAAUUUUUCACGGGUCGAAUAAUUGUUCGAGAAGAUAAAUUCGAUUCCGAUUCUUUUCGCGAUACAAUUCUCGAGGACGUGUGAAAAUUUUCGGAAACGAUCGAAGUAAAGGCGUCGAAAGAAAGAGAGAAAAAAAAGGUACGAGGAGUAGUACGAGUUAUUCUCGUUUGCCUACUUUCUCUUUUUUCGUUGAUACUGAGUGUUCGAGAAGUAUACGAUCGAGUGUUUAAAAUUGUAUAUUAGAUAUAGGCAACGAGUCGAAUAACGUUCUCGUGCGAGAAGAUAAGUUCGAUUCCAAUUCCUUUCGCGAUAUAUUCUCGAGGAUGCGCGAAAAUUUUCUGAAACGAUCGAGGCAAGCCACGAGUAAAGAUAUCGAGAGAAAGAAAUUACUGCGCGUUCGAGAAACAUCGAGAGAUCUUAGAUAUAGAUAACGAUUUUUACGAGUCGAAUAACGUUCUCGUAACGCGAGAAGAUAAGUAGGAUUCUAUUUCUUUCGCGAGAGAAGACGCGUGAAAAUUUUUGGAAACGGUCGAAAGCCUCGAAAAAAGGGAAAAAAAUAUUAUAGAUCAGAUAGAAGACGAGGAAUAUACGAGUUAUUCUCGUUUGUCUAAUUUCUUUCGCUGUGCAUUCGAGAACUUGGAUAUAGAUAACGAUUUUUACGAGUCGCGAGAAGAUAAGUUCAAUUUUAUUUCUUUCGUGAUAGAAUUCUACAUUUCUACAGAUGAAGACGCGUGAAAAUUUUCGAACGAUCGAGGUAAGCCACGAGUAAAGAUGUCGAGAGAAAGAAAUUACUGCGCGUUCGAGAAACAUCGAGAGAUCUUAGAUAUAGAUAACGAUUUUUACGAGUCGCGAGGAGAUAAGUUCAAUUCUAUUCCUUUAUAUAUAAUAUAAUAGAUGGAAUUUCGAGGUGAAGACGCGUGAAAAAUUUUCAGAAACGAUCGAAGCAAGCCACGAAAUAAAGAGAAAGAGAAAAAGUUUUGUCAGCGAAAUUACUGCGCGUUCGAGAAUGCACGAUCGAGUGGACAGAAUUAUUAUCCACUCGAAAUCCUAGGCAUCCUUGCAGAGAACGGAUCCAGCUAAGAUCGCACUUAACACCCUCUCAUUAAGUUUCAUUAAAUUUUUUCCCAACGUUCUAAUACGUUCGAAAGAAUGCCUUUCCCCUUUCCCUUCUCUUUUAUCGAUCUUUUCCACCGGGGAACGUUCGAAAAUCGAAUGGAGAAAAAGAAAUGUGAAAAUUCUUAUCUCGUACGAGAAAUUCUUCUUAAAUAUUAUAAUAUUUAAAUAAUAUUAUUCGAACAGGAGAACGACAUUUCUUUCUCAACUCAUCUUCCCCUGCCAUCAUUCAUAUCUCGUACACGAUGAAAUGGGAGAAGAAGGAGAGGCAAGACUCAAUCGGGACGCGGUUUAUUUUUCCAUUCACGAAGUGGAAAAAAAAAACGGAGAAUCGAUCUUUCAUCGAUGAACAGGGGGGGAGUCGGUGGCAAUUAUUCUCAACGAAGAAGCACGUUUCCGGCAAUUUUCACGGACUGGUACGCCGUCUCGAAUCGAGCAGCGUGUGCCCUGAUGAUUCGUGCUUCUGUCUGUACAUCACCUAUAUAUGUGUGUACUGUAUUAGUAUGUAUAUCUGUAUCUAUAUAUAUAUAUACAUACAUAUAUACACUAUAUUCCUAAAUAAUACGCGUGUGUGGGAGGCGGACCGAUGAAGGUGGAGGGUCGUCGGUGUAAAAGCAACGACCGGAGCUGACCUGAAUCCACGGCCGGGGCGAUGAAAAGGGAGCAACAAAAGCUGCACGCGGGACGAGGACGAGAGUGAAAAUACGGAAAAUAGGCCGUUGUGCAGGGCCACCUUGUGCAACUAUUUUGUGGAACGUCGAUUCCUUCACACCAUACCCCGCCGUACGGAAGAAUCCGUAACCUCUACCAACACCAAAACCUAACCUAACUCUCCCUUCUCUCUCUCCAAGACGCCAACCAUGCCAACCCCUCCUGCAAUCCUUUCUUUGCAUGGAUAAACGGUUAAUGUUCGUUCAAAUGUUUCUCUCGAACACGUCAGGAAGGAGAUGGAAAUAAAAAUGCAGAUGAAAAAUU